AUUGAACGCUGGCUACAGGCUUAACACAUGCAAGUCGAGCGAGCGACGGACGGGCGAGUAAGGUAUGCGGACUGCCCGAUGGAGGGGUAUAACUACUGGAAACGGUAGCUAAUCCCGAAUCCUCUUCGAUAAGCCUUAUGGGAUUCGCUUUUAGGUAAGGUAACGGCUGACCUAGGCGACGAUCCCUAGCUGGUCUGAGAGGAUCAUCAGGCAAACUGGGACUGAGACACGGCCCAGACUCCUGCGGAGGCAGCAGUGGGGAAAAGUGCACAAGGGGCGCAAGCCUGAUGCAGCCCAGCCGCGUGUAUGAAGAAGGCCUUGGGGUUGUAAAGUACUUUCAGUCGGGAGGCGUUACCGACAGAAGAAGCACCGGCUAACUCCGUGCCAGCCGCCGCGGUAAUAC
rnacentral:rRNA from 1 species